GGUGGUGUAAGAGACCACCAGCGCACCGGGUGACCGGUGCGGCUCGGUAAACCCCACCUGGAGCUAGGUCGAACAGGGAGCGUUCGAGGGCGGCCCGCCCGAGCUCCCGGGUAGACCGCUCGAGGCGUACGGCAACGUACGUCCUAGAUGGAUGGCCGCCUCCCACGCGUGGGCAACCGCGCGAGGAGACAGAACCCGGCGUACAGACCAGCUCAUCCG
rnacentral:RNase_P_RNA from 1 species